rnacentral:lncRNA from 1 species
UGUUCCCUGGGUUGCACCCAACUUCCCACCAGCUUCACGAGAUGAGACACAGAUUGCAAGUCAGUCGGAGCCCAUGGAAGUUGAAAUGAUGGACACAGAUGAUAACAGAUUCAAUGGGGCGGAAGUGUCUGGGUUCAGUGGAACGAUGAUGGAAGGGUCGAGUGGAACGAUGAUGGAAGGAUCGAGUGGGUUACACCACUGGCAUCAGCAACAGCAACUACAUUGGAUGGAGCCACAACUCCUCCAGAACAGUUAUACUCCCGUCACUUGGUAACUAACAAGUUCAACAACUUUGGUUGAGCCGUGCUUUCGUACUUU